CACUACGAAGCUAAACAGCGUUAACCUUUUAAGUUAAAGAUUGAGAAACAAAAUCUCCAUAGUGA
rnacentral:tRNA from 1 species